UCGUUUAAUGUAUUCAUUCAUAUAGUUUGGGUGCAGAGAAAAACAAGAAACAAAUUCUAUAUUUGUAUUGAAAAGAUUAAAUAAGAUAACAUCAAAACAAAUCUUUUGCAUUUGUAAGUAAUAAGGAUUAAGGACUAAGGAGUGAUUAAAAAGGGAUGAGAUGUUUAAGAGAUACAAAUCCCGAGAGCAAAAGUGGUGGGCAAAGAGCAUGUGCGACCUCAGGCCUCCUCUCUUCUACAACGGUAUAAAUGCCUCAGCUUCCGCAUCAUCCUUAUAAAUAUAUCCCACCGUUUAGCGUGUUAUGUGCACGUUCUAAAUCCAAAACAAACCUACAUGAGAAGAUGAAACAGUAAAAAAAACAAAAAGUUACAUUUAACAUUUUGGUUCUUUCUUUCUCAUCCUCCUUUUCACAAAAUUGUGCAUCGACUUCCAUAACUCUUAUAUUACGUUUGAACAAGUCGAGCCUAUUAAGAAAUAAUCAGUAUUUAUAUUGGAUUGAAGAACAAAAAUCAAAACCUUUUAUGAACUUUCUUUCUUUGUUUGUUUGUUUAUUGAGGUCAAAAGGAAUAUCCCGUAACAGUCAAAUCCAACGGCUGAGAUCAAAGGGAAGACUGUAGCGCGUGAGAGAGACAUCGAAACCAAUAUCUGUAUCUGUACUCUCUGUUCAGCCCGUUUGGUUCGGUAAAGCGCUACCGCACGUUCAAAGUCAAAUCCCAAGUUUCAACGUUUAUUACAUAAGCUUAGCAACCUCUUUGUUUUUUAUUUUGUCGGCCUAGCACCUCUUAAUUUUAGCUAUUUUUUUAUAAAUUGGUGAGCAAACUUUUAAUUAUUGGAAGUUUAACCCAAACUCUAACAUAUCGGUCCAUGAUAAUUUCAAAACUUUUGGAUGGUUUUGAAAAACCAAUUUUCUUGUUGUUGUCG
rnacentral:lncRNA from 1 species